ACGAACGCUGGCGGCAGGCUUAACACAUGCAAGUCGAACGCCCCGCAAGGGGAGUGGCAGACGGGUGAGUAACACGUGGGAACAUGCCCAAAGGUACGGAACAACUCCGGGAAACUGGAGCUAAUACCGUAUGUGCCCGAGAGGGGAAAGAUUUAUCGCCUUUGGAUUGGCCCGCGUUGGAUUAGCUAGUUGGUGGGGUAAAAGCCUACCAAGGCGACGAUCCAUAGCUGGUCUGAGAGGACGACCAGCCACACUGGGACUGAGACACGGCCCAGACUCCUACGGGAGGCAGCAGUGGGGAAUCUUGGACAAUGGGCGCAAGCCUGAUCCAGCCAUGCCGCGUGGAUGAUGAAGGCCCUAGGGUUGUAAAAUCCUUUCGUUGGGGACGAUAAUGACGGUACCCAAAGAAGAAGCUCCGGCUAACUUCGU
rnacentral:rRNA from 1 species